ensembl:lncRNA
AUGAUUAAUGGAGAUAUGAUUAAUGGAGAUAUGAUUGAUGAAGGUGUGAUUAAUGAAGGUGUGAUUAAUGAAGGUAUAAUUGAUGGAGAUAUGAUUGAUGGAGAUAUGAUUGAUGAAGUGGUGGAUGAUGAAGUGGUGGAUGAUGAAGUGGUCGAUGAUGAAGUGGUGGAUGAUGAAGGUAUGAUUGAUGAAGGUGUGAUUAAUGAAGGUAUGCUUGAGCAUAGUAUAAACAACAACGAAUUAGACGAUUCCAGUUCAGACUAUAACAAUUGGGAUAACAAAUCGGAUGAUGAGGAAAGUGAAGAAGAUGAAGAAAUAAACAAUAAUAAUAUUUUAAUUGUUGGUGAUGAGAAUUUAGAAUUUUCAAGAUAUAUAAUUGAAACAUAUCCAGAUUCAAACAUAUUUAUAGCAAGUACUUCAACCGAGUUCGAAAUGAAUUACAUAUUAAAAGAUUUAGAGAGUAAAAAAAACUUAAAAUAUGAAAAUGGUAAUACAAAUAGAGGUAAUAAUGAAAGUGUAAAUGACAAUGCUGCAAAUUUCGAUAUAAAUAAGGAGAAUUAUUUUUUUUAUUAUACUAAAAAAUUUAAAGAAAAAUAUGCAGAUAAAAAUGUAUAUGUAAUGUUUAAUAUAAAUUUAUUCAAUUUAAGAUGUUGUUUCCCAAAUGAUUUUUUCGGAACCGUGUUUUGGGUUUUACCAGGUAUGUGUUACAAUAUUAAAGAAAAAAAACUCAAGUGCAAUCAGAAGAUCACUACACUAAGGUUAUAUUAUUUUUGCAUUUUAGUACUAAUAGAAAUGAUUAAAACAUGUAUAAAAAAUGCACGUUUUCACAUGUUAUGGACUAAAGAGGAACUUGCAAGUUUAAUUGAAAAUAAUAACGAUGGAUAUAGUCAAAAGAAGGACAAGUCGAACGAUAAACCAGAUAUUAUUAAUAAAAAGGUAGACUGUGUUGAGCAAAAAGUUAUAAAAAAAGAAAGCGUACAUGAUACAAUAAAUUAUCUUAAAAAUUUUAUGUUUAAAAAAAAUACAAACAACAUCGACGCAAGUAACGAAAAUAGCCAAAAUGAUGAAAACAACGAGAAUGACGGAGAUAAAAAUGACGUAGAUAAAAAUGACGUAGAUAAAAAUGAUGGUGAUAAAAAUGAUGGUGAUAAAAAUGACGGAGAUAAAAAUGACGGUGAUAAAAAUGACGAUAAUAAAAAUGACGGAGAUAAAAAUGACGAUGAUAAAAAUGACGAUGAUAAAAAUGACGAUGAUAAAAAUGACGGAGAUAAAAAUUACGAAAAUAACGGUGAUGAAAUAAACGAAACUACACUUAAGGAAAAUGCAGAAGGAACACAAGAGAAGCAAGUUUCUGAUAAAGAUAAGGAUGAUAAAGAUAAGGAUGAUAAAGAUAAGGAUGAUAAAGAUAAGGAUGAUAAAGAUAAGGCGGAUAAAGAUAAGGCGGAUAAAGAUAAGGUGGAUAAAGAUAAGGCGGAUGUAGAUGGAGCCAGUUGCUUGGAUAAUAAUUCUGUUCGAACUUCCAAAGAGAAGUCAUGUGUUGACGUCGUUGAUGAUGGAGUAAACCAAAACGAAAAAAAAUUCGAUGAAGUAAAAAAAUGAUGAAGACAUAAAUGAAUACAUUUUAAGUGUGUUCAAAAAUGAUAAUGAUAAUAAUAAUGGUGAUAAUUUUAUAAAAUCAAAAAAUGGAGUAAACAUAAUAGAUAUAGUAAACACAACAAUAAAUAGUAACGAAAAUAGUGACGGAAAAAGUGA